AAUUUGUAAUCUGGCUGUCUUCGAUAGUCCGAGUUGUAAUCUAUAGACGUGUUUUCCGUGCUGGACCGUAUCUAAGUCCCUUGGAACAGGGUAUCAAAGAGGGUGACAAUCCCGUGCUUGAUACGACCACCAGUGCUCUGUGAUACACGCUCUACGAGUCGAGUUGUUUGGGAAUGCAGCUCAAAAUGGGUGGUAAAUUCCAUCUAAAGCUAAAUAUUGGCGAGAGACCGAUAGCGAACAAGUACCGUGAGGGAAAGAUGAAAAGCACUUUGGAAAGAGAGUUAAACAGUACGUGAAAUUGUUGAAAGGGAAACGAUUGAAGUCAGUCGUGUUCUUUGGAUUCAGCUAGUUCUUCUAGUCUACUUCCUUUGAACGGGUCAACAUCAGUUUUGUCCGGUGGAUAAAGAUAGUAGGAAUGUAGCUCCCUCGGGAGUGUUAUAGACUAUUAUUGCAUGCACUGGGUGAGACUGAGGACUGCAGCUCGCC
rnacentral:rRNA from 1 species